rnacentral:pre_miRNA from 1 species
AUAGUACUCCCUCUGUUCGGAAAUACUCGUCAUUGAAAUGGAUGUAUCUAGAUGUAUUUUAAUUCUAGAUACAUCCAUUUUGGUGACAAGUAAUUCCAAACGGAGGGAGUAUAUU